AUGCUUAACACAUGCAAGUCGAACGGUAACAGGCCAUCGUGAUCUCUUCGGAGUGAACUAGGCGCUGACGAGUGGCGGACGGGUGAGUAAUACUUAGGAAUCUGCCCUGUAGUGGGGGACAACUCGAGGAAACUCGAGCUAAUACCGCAUACGCCCUAAGGGGGAAAGCGGGGGAUCAUUAGACCUCGCGCUAUUGGAUGAGCCUAAGUCGGAUUAGUUUGUUGGUAGGGUAAUAGCCUACCAAGGCUACGAUCCGUAGCUGGUCUGAGAGGACGAUCAGCCACACUGGGACUGAGACACGGCCCAGACUCCUACGGGAGGCAGCAGUGGGGAAUAUUGGACAAUGGGCGAAAGCCUGAUCCAGCAAUGCCGCGUGUGUGAAGAAGGCCUGAGGGUUGUAAAGCACUUUCAGUAGCGAAGAAAAACUUAGAGUUAAUAUCUUUAAGUCGUGACGUUAACUACAGAAGAAGCACCGGCUAACUCCGUGCCAGCAGCCGCGGUAAUACGGAGGGUGCGAGCGUUAAUCGGAAUUACUGGGCGUAAAGCGCGCGUAGGCGGUUUUGUAAGUCGGAUGUGAAAGCCCAGGGCUUAACCUUGGAAUUGCAUUCGAUACUGCAUCACUAGAGUAUGGUAGAGGGAAGUGGAAUUUCCGGUGUAGCGGUGAAAUGCGUAGAUAUCUGAAGGAACACCAGUGG
rnacentral:rRNA from 1 species